GACGUAGGGCGCGAGCGUUGUCCGGAUUUAUUGGGCGUAAAGCGCGCGCAGGCGGUCCUUUAAGUCUGAUGUGAAAGCCCACGGCUCAACCGUGGAGGGUCAUUGGAAACUGGGGGACUUGAGUGCAGAAGAGGAGAGUGGAAUUCCCGGUGUAGCAGUGAAAUGCGUAGAUAUCGGGAGGAAUACCGAUGGCGAAGGCAGGUCUCUGGGCUAUAACUGACGCUCAUGCACGAAAGCGUGGGGAGCAAACAGG
rnacentral:rRNA from 1 species